rnacentral:tRNA from 1 species
CGCGGGGUGGAGCAGCUGGUAGCUUACCGGGCUCAUAACCCGGACGUCGUAGGUUCAAAUCCUACCCCCGCAACCA